AACGGCGGCCGUAACUAUAACGGUCCUAAGGUAGCGAAAUUCCUUGUCGGGUAAGUUCCGACCUGCACGAAUGGCGUAAUGAUGGCCAGGCUGUCUCCACCCGAGACUCAGUGAAAUUGAACUCGCUGUGAAGAUGCAGUGUACCCGCGGCAAGACGGAAAGACCCCGUGAACCUUUACUAUAGCUUGACACUGAACAUUGAGCCUUGAUGUGUAGGAUAGGUGGGAGGCUUUGAAGCGUGGACGCCAGUCUGCGUGGAGCCAACCUUGAAAUACCACCCUUUAAUGUUUGAUGUUCUAACGUAGACCCGUGAUCCGGGUUGCGGACAGUGUCUGGUGGGUAGUUUGACUGGGGCGGUCUCCUCCCAAAGAGUAACGGAGGAGCACGAAGGUUAGCUAAUCCUGGUCGGACAUCAGGAGGUUAGUGCAAUGGCAUAAGCUAGCUUGACUGCGAGCGUGACGGCGCGAGCAGGUGCGAAAGCAGGUCAUAGUGAUCCGGUGGUUCUGAAUGGAAGGGCCAUCGCUCAACGGAUAAAAGGUACUCCGGGGAUAACAGGCUGAUACCGCCCAAGAGUUCAUAUCGACGGCGGUGUUUGGCACCUCGAUGUCGGCUCAUCACAUCCUGGGGCUGAAGUAGGUCCCAAGGGUAUGGCUGUUCGCCAUUUAAAGUGGUACGCGAGCUGGGUUUAGAACGUCGUGAGACAGUUCGGUCCCUAUCUGCCGUGGGCGCUGGAGAAUUGAGGGGGGCUGCUCCUAGUACGAGAGGACCGGAGUGGACGCAUCACUGGUGUUCGGGUUGUCAUGCCAAUGGCAUUGCCCGGUAGCUAAAUGCGGAAAAGAUAAGUGCUGAAAGCAUCUAAGCACGAAACUUGCCCCGAGAUGAGUUCUCCCUGACUCCUUGAGAGUCCUGAAGGAACGUUGAAGACGACGACGUUGAUAGGUCGGGUGUGUAAGCGUAGCGAUACGUUGAGCUAACCGAUACUAAUGAACCGUGAGGCUUAACCUU
rnacentral:rRNA from 1 species